UACGAAGGGGGCUAGCGUUGUUCGGAAUUACUGGGCGUAAAGCGCGCGCAGGCGGCUCUUCAAGUCAGGCGUGAAAGCCCCGGGCUCAACCUGGGAGGUGCGCUUGAUACUCGAGGGCUUGAGUGCGGGAGAGGAGAGUGGAAUUCCCAGUGUAGAGGUGAAAUUCGUAGAUAUUGGGAAGAACACCGGUGGCGAAGGCGGCUCUCUGGACCGUAACUGACGCUGAGGCGCGAAAGCGUGGGGAGCAAACAGG
rnacentral:rRNA from 1 species